rnacentral:rRNA from 2 species
GGUCAAGCGAACAAGUGCAUGUGGUGGAUGCCUUGGCGAUCACAGGCGAUGAAGGACGCGGUAGCCUGCGAAAAGCUACGGGGAGCUGGCAAACGAGCUUUGAUCCGUAGAUGUCCGAAUGGGGAAACCCGGCCCUUUUGGGUCAUCCUAGACUGAAUACAUAGGUCUAGUGAAGCGAACGCGGUGAACUGAAACAUCUAAGUAACCGCAGGAAAAGAAAUCAACCGAGAUUCCCAAAGUAGUGGCGAGCGAAAUGGGAUGAGCCUUGCACUCUUUAUUUGUAUUGUUAGCCGAA